GACGGGCGUUUCUUUCUCUCUCCUACUGGGAGGUCCUUCAGACCAUGGAUAGAGGAACUCGUGUCACUCUCCAGGAUACAGUACCUCUUCUGACUACACUCCUCCAGAACCUCCAUGAUCGCUGCCUGAUAAGCCCUCUUCUGAUGCACA